CCUACGGGAGGCAGCAGUGGGGAAUAUUGGGCAAUGGGCGCAAGCCUGACCCAGCAAUGCCGCGUGAAGGAAGAAGGCUUUCGGGUUGUAAACUUCUUUGACAGGGGAAGAGCAGAAGACGGUACCCUGAAAACAAGCCACGGCUAACUACGGGCCAGCAGCCGCGGUAAUACGUAGGUGGCAAGCGUUGGCCGGCUUUACUGGGUGUAAAGGGCGUGUAGCCGGGAAGGCAAGUCAGAUGUGAAAUCUGGAGGCUCAACCUCCAAAUUGCAUUUGAAACUGUUUUUCUUGAGUACUGGAGAGGCAGACGGAAUUCCUUGUGUAGCGGUGAAAUGCGUAGAUAUAAGGAGGAACACCAGUGGCGAAGGCGGUCUGCUGGACAGCAACUGACGGUGAGGCGCGAAAGCGUGGGGAGCAAACAGGAUUAGAUACCCCAGUAGUC
rnacentral:rRNA from 1 species